rnacentral:misc_RNA from 1 species
UCGAAGCCUAGAAAGCACGACCGCGAACGAGUUUCAAUCCGGGGCAGCGUCGGGAAGCCCCAGGGCGACCCCUCGUUCCCUCGAUCGGGAGGCUUGCCUUCCGAACCUAACGAACCCCGGCGCGGCAAGCGCCAAGGAAUCAUAACGAAAGGACUUGCCCCGCGGCCGUCCUCGGGUUGGGGGGAAAGAGUCUAUUCAAACGAAUCAUAACGACUCUCGGCAACGGAUAUCUCGGCUCUCGCAUCGAUGAAGAACGUAGCAAAAUGCGAUACUUGGUGUGAAUUGCAGAAUCCCGUGAAUCAUCGAGUCUUUGAACGCAAGUUGCGCCCGAAGCCUUUAGGCCGAGGGCACGUCUGCCUGGGCGUCAUGCACUGCGAUGCCCCCCGCAAUGGGGAGCAGAGCAUGGCCUCCCGUGAGCCCAUCUCGCGGAUGGCUUAAAAGCGAGCAUCGAGACGGCGAGCCAUCGCGACAAGUGGUGGUUUACAAGGCCUUUGGCCUUCGAGCAUUUGCAAGUCGCGUCCUCGCCCCUCUGUCGCUCCCGAGUAAAACCUUCACGGAGCGCUCGCGCGCUGCCAGCAUC